rnacentral:rRNA from 1 species
CGGAUUGCAGGCUGNAACCCGCCUGUAUGAAGUUGGAAUCGCUAGUAAUCGCGGAUCAGCAUGCCGCGGUGAAUACGUUCCCGGGCCUUGUACACACCGCCCGUCACACCAUGAGAGUCGGGAACACCCGAAGUCCGUAGCCUAACCGCAAGGAGGGCGCGGCGAAGGUGGGUUCGAUAAUUGGGGUGAAGUCGUAACAAGGUAAC